UACGAGUGCCCCAAGCGUUAUCCGGAAUCAUUGGGCGUAAAGGGUGUGUAGGCGGUUGUGUUAGUCUUUUGUUAAAUUCUUCGGCUUAACCGGGGACCUGCAGAGGAAACGGCACAACUAGAGGAUGCGAGAGGUGAAUGGAACUCAUGGAGUAGGGGUGAAAUCCGUUGAUAUCAUGGGGAACACCAAAAGCGAAGGCAAUUCACUGGCGCACUCCUGACGCUGAGACACGAAAGCGUAGGUAGCGAAUGGG
rnacentral:rRNA from 1 species